rnacentral:rRNA from 1 species
GAUGAACGCUGGCGGCGUGCCUAAUACAUGCAAGUCGAGCGAACGGACGAGUAGCUGCCUCUUCUGACGUUAGCGGCGGACGGGUGUGUAACGUGUGGACAACUUACGUAUAAGACGGGGAUAACUUCGGGACCCGGUUGCUAAUACCGGAUAAUAUAUUGAACCGCAUGGUUCACUUGGGAAAGACGGUUUUGCUGUUAGUUGUAGACUGAUUCGCGCCGGAUUAGCUAGUUGGUAAGGUAACGGCUUACCAAGGCAACGAUGAGUAGCCGACCUGAGAGGGUGAUCGGCCACACUGGAACUGAGACACGGUCCAGACUCCUACGGGAGGCAGCAGUGGGGAAUCUUGCGCAAUGGGCGAAAGCCUGACGGAGCAACGCCGCGUGAGUGAUGAAGGCCUUCGGAUCGUAAAACUCUGUUAUUAGGGAAGAACAAAUGUGCAAGAAACUAGGCACGUCAUGACGGUACCUAAUCAGAAAGCAACGGCUAACUACGUG